ACUCAAAGGAAUUGACGGGGGCUCGCACAAGCGGUGGAGCAUGCGGUUUAAUUCGAUGCUACGCGAAAAACCUUACCAACCCUUGACAUGGUGAUCGCGGGGUGCGGAGACGCACUCCUUCAGUUCGGCUGGAUCACACACAGGUGUUGCAUGGCUGUCGUCAGCUCGUGUCGUGAGAUGUUGGGUUAAGUCCCGCAACGAGCGCAACCCUCAUCCUUAUUUGCCAGCGGUUAGGCCGGGAACUAUAAGGAAACUGCCGGUGAUAAGCCGGAGGAAGGUGGGGACGAUGUCAAGUCAUCAUGGCCCUUACGGGUUGGGCUACACGCGUGCUACAAUGGUAUCUACAGAGGGAAGCAAGACAGCGAUGUGGAGCAAAUCCUUAAAAGAUAUCUCAGUUCGGAUUGCACUCUGCAACUCGAGUGCAUGAAGUUGGAAUCGCUAGUAAUCGCGGAUCAGAAUGUCGCGGUGAAUACGUUCUCGGGCCUUGUACACACCGCCCGU
rnacentral:rRNA from 1 species